AGAAUCAACGCUGGCGGCGUGCCUAACACAUGCAAGUCGAACGAGAAAGUGGAGCAAUCCAUGAGUAAAGUGGCGCACGGGUGAGUAACACGUGACUACCUACCCUUGAGUGGGGGAUAACCUAGGGAAACCUGGGCUAAUACCGCAUAACACCUUCGGGUCAAAGGAGCAAUUCGCUUAAGGAGGGGGUCGCGGCCGAUUAGUUAGUUGGCGGGGUAAUGGCCCACCAAGACGAUGAUCGGUAUCCGGCCUGAGAGGGCGCACGGACACACUGGAACUGAAACACGGUCCAGACUCCUACGGGAGGCAGCAGUGGGGAAUUUUGCGCAAUGGGGGAAACCCUGACGCAGCAACGCCGCGUGGAGGAUGAAGUCCCUUGGGACGUAAACUCCUUUCGUUCGGGACGAUUAUGACGGUACCGGAAGAAGAAGCCCCGGCUAACUUCGUGCCAGCAGCCGC
rnacentral:rRNA from 1 species